rnacentral:rRNA from 1 species
GACGAACGCUGGCGGCGUGCUUAACACAUGCAAGUCGAGCGGUAAGGCCCUUUCGGGGGUACACGAGCGGCGAACGGGUGAGUAACACGUGGGUGACCUGCCCUCAGCUCUGGGAUAAGCCUGGGAAACCGGGUCUAAUACCGGAUAUGACUCCAUGACGCAUGUUGUGGGGUGGAAAGCCUUGUGCGGCUGAGGAUGGGCCCGCGGCCUAUCAGCUUGUUGGUGGGGUGAUGGCCUACCAAGGCGACGACGGGUAGCCGGCCUGAGAGGGCGACCGGCCACACUGGGACUGAGACACGGCCCAGACUCCUACGGGAGGCAGCAGUGGGGAAUCUUGCACAAUGGGGCGAAAGCCUGACGCAGCGACGCCGCGUGAGGGAUGACGCC